ACAUGUUAUAUGUGAAUGGAAAUGCAAAGCUUUUCCUGAGUCCUGAAUCGUUUUCUUUAAUGAUUACGAAUUACACAUAAUUUUGUCCUAAAACUACCGAGUCUCUUGAAUAUAACCUCAAACGAAAUGCUAUAAAAGCUAUAAAAAGUCUUCCGAAUAUUUUGUUAUUUCCGACGCACUGUCCAGCGACCAGGUUACCGUACUAUUUUAUAUUAGGCUAAUCAUCCGAAUUCUAUAUUGCUGAGAAUUUUUAUCGUUCAUCGAAUUGGACGAAUAAACGUCUUAUUCGUUCGGAUUUGUAACAGUAGUGCUCGUUUGGUAACAGUGCGUUGAAAAAAUAAACAUGAUGUCUUCAUAACAUAUUUCUGGAAGAAUAACUUUAUUUGUACGGUUGCCAGACGAUUAGAUAUGACUAUUUUUAAUUCGCUGGGAAAAAAUGGUUUGUGAGAAGUGUGAACAAAAAUUGGGCAAAGUGAUAACACCUGAUCCUUGGAAAUGUGGAGCUCGAAAUACAGUAGAAAGUGGAGGACGUAAAGAUAUGCAGACAAAAGGUUCAUCAGGUUGGCUCGCAUUAUUGUCAAGCUUGUGCCUACAAAAAAGCCAUUUGUGCCAUGUGCGGCAAAAAACUCAUGAGUACAAAAAAUUACAAGCAGUCAGCGACAUGAAUAUCCAAGGAAUCAUUGAAUUCUUUGAAUAAAUUUAUUGAGUAUAUUUGUAACACCGAAGUACAAGCAAAAUCUGUCA